AAGGAAGGCACCUCCGAGGUGAUUACGACAGAGUAAAAACUCCUUCAUCUCUGCUGCUGCAGCGUCACCUCGCUACAAAAAGUCCAGUGCUCUUGAGGAACAAGAAACCACCCAAGCUUAACCCACCAAAAAGAAAGGUUACUGAGUCUCUGCUGAAACCUCAAGGAGGAGAGCCUGUCCCCAGCUGGAGAAGCAGCAGGGAGGAGGAAAUCUGGAAAAUGGCACACUCUGAACCAGGGCAGAGUGCGCAUUUUCCCACUUUGCUGAAUUCCUGCAGGGAGAGAUGCAAAACCCAGCUGGAUGUGAGGGAACCAUCAGCACGAGCUCCUGAGCCAAAAUAGGAGCUGAAGCCCCAGAAAGUGGUGGGGUAGAGCUGUGAAUCCUAGCAACAGGCGGGGAAAGAACUGUACGUUUCCUCACGUCCUCCAAGUGUUGGUGCCUUCUGGUACAUCAUUGACAGGAAGAGACACAGACCAUGGAAAGGCCCUCCUUGCUGAUGCAUCAAGAAAGGGCA